rnacentral:rRNA from 1 species
UACGAAGGGGGCGAGCGUUGUUCGGAUUGACUGGGCGUAAAGGGCGCGUAGGCGGUUUGCCAAGUCAGGCGUGAAAGCCCCGGGCUUAACCUGGGAACGGCGCUUGAGACUGGCAAACUUGAGUUCGGGAGAGGAUGGUGGAAUUCCCAGUGUAGAGGUGAAAUUCGUAGAGAUUGGGAAGAACACCGGUGGCGAAGGCGGCCAUCUGGACCGACACUGACGCUGAGGCGCGACAGCGUGGGGAGCAAACAGG